UACAGGGGGGGCAAGCGUUGUUCGGAAUUACUGGGCGUAAAGGGCCAGUAGGCGGCCAACUAAGUCACACGUGAAAUCCCCAGGCUUAACCUGGGAACUGCGUGUGAUACUGGAUGGCUUGAAUUCGGGAGAGGGAUGCAGAAUUCCAGGUGUAGCGGUGAAAUGCGUAGAUAUCUGGAGGAAUACCGGUGGCGAAGGCGGCAUCCUGGACCGACAUUGACGCUGAACGGCGGAAGCUAGGGGAGCGAAUGGG
rnacentral:rRNA from 1 species